rnacentral:rRNA from 1 species
UGGUGGAGCGAUUUGUCUGGUCAAUUCCGAUAACGAACGAGACUCUAGCCUACUAAAUAGUUCGGGGACCCCCACAAAGGGGCCCCGCUUCAACUCCUUAGAGGGACAGGUGGCGUUUAGCCACACGAGAUUGAGCGAUAACA